rnacentral:rRNA from 1 species
AGUGAACGCUGGCGGUAGGCCUAACACAUGCAAGUCGAACGAGUGGCGGACGGGUGAGGAAUACAUCGGAAUCUACUCUGUCGUGGGGGAUAACGUCGGGAAACUUACGCUAAUACCGCACACGCUUGAAUGUGCCGAUGUGGGAUUAGCUAGGUGGCGGGGUAAAGGCCCACCCAGGCGACGAUCCGUAGCUGGGCGGAGAGGAUGAGCAGCUACACUGGAACUGAGACACGGUCCAGACGCCUACGGGAGGCGGCAGUGGGGAAUAUUGGACAAUGGGAGCAAGCCUGAUCCAGCCAUACCGCGUGGGUGAAGAAUGCAUUCGGGUUGUAAAGCUCUUUUGUUGGGAAAGCGGUACCCAAAGAAUAAGCACCGGCUAACUUCGUGCCAGCAGCCGCGGUAAUAC